GUGAACGCUGGCGGUAGGCCUAACACAUGCCCGUCGAACGGCAGCACAGUAAGAGCUUGCUCUUACGGGUGGCGAGUGGCGGACGGGUGAGGAAUACAUCGGAAUCUACUUUUUCGUGGGGGAUAACGUAGGGAAACUUACGCUAAUACCGCAUACGACCUACGGGUGAAAGCAGGGGAUCUUCGGACCUUGCGCGAUUGAAUGAGCCGAUGUCGGAUUAGCUAGUUGGCGGGGUAAAGGCCCACCAAGGCAACGAUCCGUAGCUGGUCCGAGAGGAUGAUCAGCCACACUGGAACUGAGACACGGUCCAGACUCCUACGGGAGGCAGCAGUGGGGAAUAUUGGACAAUGGGCGCAAGCCUGAUCCAGCCAUACCGCGUGGGUGAAGAAGGCCUUCGGGUUGUAAAGCCCUUUUGUUGGGAAAGAAAAGCAGCAGGUUAAUACCCCGCUGUUCUGACGGUACCCAAAGAAUAAGCACCGGCUAACUUCGUG
rnacentral:rRNA from 1 species